GGUACGAAGGAAAAAAAGCCAGCCCCGCGCUCCCCCUCUCCGCGCUGCGCUUCGUCCCGCCUCCUGCUCCGCCGGCCGCCUCCUGCCCUGCCUCGCUGCGCUCCGCCAGCGGCCUCCUGUCCCGCCCCGCCUCGCCACGCUCCACCGGCCUCCUUCUACGCCGCCCCGCCUCACCGUCCUCCGCCGCCCGCCUCCUGCCCUGCCUCGCCUCGCUCCGCCGGCGGCCUCAUGCAUCGCCCUGCCUCCUCGCGCUCCGCCGACCGCCUCCUGCGCCACCCUGCCUUGUCGAGCUCCGCUGGCCGCCUCCUGCGCCGCCCCAUCUCACCGUGCUCCGCCGGCCGCCUCCUGCCUCCCACCGUGGAGAACGGCGACAGGCGGCUGCCAACGGAUGGAUACAGACAGAGGAGGUUCAGAGAGGCGCGCGGAAGGCCGACGAGGUUGGGCGGCGCCGGAUCCAGAGUUCGGGGUGGUGCCAUGGUUGCUCGGUGAGCUCCUGCAGGGGAAGAUGGCGGGGCGAGAUUUAAAGGGAGAUGGGAGAGAGAAGGAAAAGGGAUUGGCCGGCGGGGAUUCUGCUGCUCACCGGCGAAUAUCGAGCGCUUGGGCACCAUGCGAGGCUGCGGCUGCGGGCGGUUGGAGACGCAGCCUUAGGCAAGCUGCUGCUGCUUUCGAGUGUGAGCGUCGCUCCGUCGAGUCCGACGGACGAAGGAUUAGGGAAGGGGCGGGCUGUGGAGACUUUGAGGCGUCUGGUGGAGGCGUUGGCCUUGUCGGAAGGCCGGAGGAGGCGACUGGUGGCGGCUCGCCAUGGCUGCACUUCACGGGAGCGGAGGUAGGCGUUCGAUGGCCAGUCCGUGUGGAUGCAGAUGAGACCCAGCCGUGAUGAACAAAUAGUAGCAGACUGUGCUGGACUGCUGGUCUUUUCCUCCUAUCUGAAUUUUCUGCAGAUGAGAUCCAGCCGUGAUAAACAAACAGCAGUAAGCCGUGCUACUCUUUUAUCUAUCUGAAUUUUGUGCAACUCAGAUCCACCAAGGAAGAGAUGGAUGAGGCCGUGCUGCUCCUUUCAUCUAUCUCAAUUGCUAUAUGAAAAGCUCUGAAUUUCCAAUCAGGUAAAUAUUACCACUAACUCUCAUUUUCAAGCAUAGUAUAUGUGCUUCUGCAUAUAAAGAAUAUGCGUGCUUCUUUCAUUUUCUCUGUUCAUACUUAUACUGCAGCAGAUAGAUACAUUUGUAUAUGGCACUACCAUUUGUGUCUUGUCUGAUAUAGUUCUCUUUUUAGGGAUUGAACAACAUCAGUUAUUUUUUUAGGAUUAAACAACAUCAGUUAGUUGUACUUGCUUGAAGUCUUGACCUUGAGCAUAACCUGAUAUCAACAAGCAAAAACAUUUGUUUUAAUGUAUGCAAAUAGUCACAUUGUCUGUUUAGUUGAGGGUCGUUUUUCAGUACAUGAAUUUGCUGCACUGUCAUGUAAAAGAAUUUGCACUGAUGCUAAUCAUAGUUCUAUGGAACUGAAUCAACAUGGUAUGUAAUCCUUCUCGACAUGAGUUACAAGUUCUUUAUUUAUUAUCCUGUUAAUUUAGUACUAAGUAAUUUUGACGUGAAGCUCUGCCUUUGUAAGCAACCAUGAAGGGCCGAUCAGAAGCGAGGUCCUUGCUGCUCGUGUCUCCUUGCUGGUGGCAACCGGACCUUCAGCUUGCCAGCGACAGGCAGGAAUCCGGUCAGUGGCCGCCAAAUAAGUACAGAUUACGGAAGAGACCUAAGUCCGACCAACGCCCAGCUCCCAGUUACUCGCUGCAAUUCCCACAUCCACCUCAAAUGGGAUAAGCGCUCCAGGCGAGGCGUCCCCGGCUAGGAGCAGAUCUGGAUCCCAUGGGUCCACCUCUCCCCGUUCGUUGGAUCUUUGCCCCCCAGCCGUGGCCACUCCUCAGGUUUGCUGGCUGAUGUCACGCCCGUUCCAAGGCAGGUUUUUCCCAGGGGAACCUCCUGGGGUGUGUCCUACGAGGUAGAAGUUUCUUGCUCGGUUCCUUUUGUUUGGGAUGAUCCAGAUAAGAUAGUGCAUCAGUUGCUCACAGGAAGAAACCGCCACAAUGAGAAUCCUCUUCUAAUCUGGCAAGUACUAUUCCUACUUGACUGACGAACAUCGUGUAUGUAGUAUCUCUCAUUGUGCACUGUUGGUUAUGUUGUAUUACUUCUGCGGCUUUUUUUCAUAUUUUAACAAUGGAUUUUUGUGUUAGGAACUGAGAUUCACUAGCUUUCAUAUUCUGCUUUAGUUUUUGAAUACUGAAAGUGCAUACCCAAUCUUAAUAAAGACUGGAAUCGAAUUGUCUCACGAAUGACUGAUAUUGAUUUUUUUAACACAACAUUUUCUUGUGAUGACACAACUUUAGUUAGUAGGUUUCGCAAAGGUCACCAAGUAUCAGUUAUCUAUCAUUUAAAUCUCGAGUAGUGCCGGAACGAGGCACGAGCUGUGGGCGUGGGCAGCAGGUAGACUGCCCCUUAUGCUGAAUUUAAUAACAGUUGAAAAUUAUACAAUCAUGAAUGCCAUUAUGAUUUGAUGAAUUUAACUACAGUUGCAGCUCUUUUAUCAUCUGAACAAUUAGUUUGAAAGGUCCUUCAAAUUACUGUAGCUGAAACUUUAAAGAUUAACCAACUAUGUUCUCCUUGAUCCUGUAAAAAAUAUUUUAUUCAUUUGAAAUUAUAAGCAGUGUUUAUGCAAGCCAAUACUAUGAGAUACUAGAAAGCAAACGAAGAAACUGAUUACUUCCAUUGUGUAAAUCAUAUUUCUGAAUGUAACCUACUUAUUUCACCAUCCUCUUUAUUUGGAUACACAUGGCUCUGUUUGAAUAAAUCCCCACUUUAUCCUAUAUGAUAUGUAGGCCCUCGUUUCUUUUCUCAGUAAUAUUUGUUUGUAUGAAAUUUUCAGUGUAGAACAUAGUUUCUUUUAAAUGCUAUAGGUGUCUUUGUGUCUUGUUUGGUGGUCCGCCUUGUUUUGGUUAGGAAAGAUUGUAGGUAGAGAGUAGCUUCGGAGAUAUAUGUUCUUUUCUUACAGGUUAGUGCAAAGUAGGGAAUUCACAUUACUCAUAUAUACGAGUAGGUGACAGUAAUAUCCUGAAGUGCAGAGUUGUUGGGCUAAUUUACUAAUGAAACUCACUACCAUAUCCUUGGAUGUCUUGAUCACCUCAAGGGACAUUAGGGAGCUGAACUCGGGAAUGUUUAUACUAAAGGUGUAGCUAAAGCAACUUCAUGUCUAAAAACUUGAAACUUUGGCUUCCUUCCUGUGGUCGUAUGUAUUUCGUUUUUACAGCUUAUUUCUUUUUCAGUUUAGCAACAAAGGUUAGAUAAAGGCACCCAUAGGUAAAGCGAAACCUGAAAGUUUCUUUCGCUCUCCUCCCUACAGAUCUAUGCUUAUUUCCCAAUAAAUGUAGCUUCUUAUAUAAUUAAAAUAUUGUAUUUUGAGUGUGUUCAUGUUCUAAAAUAAAUAAUGGUGGUAUUCUUGGUAGAACUAAUGCAUUUCAUUAUGAUUUACUAUCUUGACUUAAAAAACAUUGACUUAUCCUAUAUACUUAAGAAGUUCACCCCCACUACUUGAUUUAUCUCAACAUGCAGCAUAGCCACGUCAUCAUCCAAUCACAUCCAGCCAUGUCACACCUCAUGCAGUCCCACUCAAGACCACGUCGUUUUUCUUUUCAAAAAAGAAGAAUUGAUCAAUUGAUAGCUUUUCCUCCUAUUUAAUGAACGUGGAGGUCCCACAUGUGAAAGCAAUCUUCCCCUUCCAGUAACCUGCAGACGUUUUCUUCUCAUCUUCAGCAAAUAUAAUUUCCAUCCGAACAUCCAUCUUCCCUCGGGAUUUUUUUUGCAGGUCUUUUUAAUUUAGCUUACUUCUUUUUAUUCAACGGAAAUACACGAUAUUCUCCUCUUCCCGGUCUCUUCCCCUUCUCGGCCCUUUUUAUCCCCUGUCUUCCCGAUCUCUCUCUCUCCCGUAGUAGGAACGAACCGGGGUGAGCGCAGCAGACGAUUGGCGAAUGUUGGGAGGCGUCAAUGGGGAUAGAUUGGAGCUCCUUUUGCAGAGACGGAUCCCUCCUCUCUCUCUCUCUGCGCGCGGCCGGUUGGUGUAGACGCCGUCGUGGGCGAGGCUCCACUUGAGCAGGCCGUUCCAGUCGGGGCCGCAUCCUGCUCCUUACUUGGCCAUGGUCUCAUGGUUGCCGACGGAGAGAUAGACGCUGCUGCCAGUGCAGUGGGUUCCUGACUUCUUCGUGGAUACCAUCGCCUCCAUUGACUCCCCGCUCCUCUUUGUAGUAUAUUUAUGGUGAUGUAGCUAUUGGUUUUCACAGCAUAAUUUUGGUGUUUUCCAGCACUAUGCAUUCUCUUUUGAUGUGCUAAAAUGUUAUGCGGCUAUUAGAUUUGACUAAUUAUGAUAACAUUGCGCAUAUAUUGAUUGUUUCAUUCAUUUUUUAAGUAACAUCUACGCGUUUCAAUCUAUUUUUGCUAGAGAUCUUGAUGUAUGCACACAAAAAGGGGGCACUGAAGUCACUGAAACCCCUGGCAAGAAAAAGUAGUAACAGCCCAGUUGAAGCAUCGGCUUGGUCAGGAGAAGGAGCACUAUUAUGGCAACAGGUUUCACGACAUCUACGGCAGAAAAGAUACUGCUGUAACGACUAUUUAGGUACACUGGAGAUCCGAGAUCAAUUAUGGACUGCAAACAUGCUAUCAAUGGUCUAAUUUUCCCUGAUGCAUUGUGUUUGCGCAUAACAAAAAGUUUUAUUAACCAUGUUACCAGACCAUUCAUGAAGACAAUAUCAUCAUCCAACUGAUUCAAAUUAUAUUCUUUCAUUAUCUUUUGGGUUCACAUUUGCACAUAUAUUACUAUUGUGCAUUGCUGAAGAUGUCCGAUGUAUUUACUUUGUAAAAGUGUAGAGGUAGCUGCCCUAUCGAGUGUUGGCGCCUAUGAAAAAUCUCUAUGGUAAUGUUACAGAUGGAUCGUUGUAUUACUCCCAUCCUAUCACAGUACCGAAAUCAAAGGCAUGUUGAAUUCGCUACACAUCACGAGUGGUAUUCUGCUGCGGGAGUAGCUCAUUGGUCUGAGGCUCAAGUUCCAGGUAAGUCCAUUAGGUAUACGUGCAUACAAUUUUGCUGUGAUGUUCAAACUGUCAAGCUAGCAUGGUAGGAAUCAGAUGUGCAGGUGAAAGGGUCAUCUCAGACUGGAAUGUAAGCCAACUAAUCUAAAAUGAGUAUGUAAAGCAUCUUUACUACCAAUGGUUCUUUGCUGGUAGAACGACUAGCUAGCGAUAUCACCAUAUCGUGCCUCGGAUGUUAUGGUUUCAAUAAUUUUACACUUAGCCGAUGGGGUUACUAGACCACUGCGUCAAUAGUUUAGCACCUGAGAAAGAAAUAUAUUUUUUAAGUAUGAGAAAUUCCAUUGAAUUAAGCAUGAUUGCGAUAGAGCACUCAAUAAAUUAUAUAUGUUUUGUAACUGUUCAAUUGUCAAUGCAUUACGUGAUUUCUGCAAUGCACAAUAUAUAGUUCUGUUGUAAAUAUGUCAUUGAUGAUAGGCAUUUUAUCCAUUCCUAUAUACAUAUCUAUUCUCACCUUAUUACACACGUUUUUGAGUGUGUAAGAUCACCACAUCCCAUGUAUUUUAUAGAAACUAUCAUGGUAUGCACUAAAAAUUCUCCGUAACAACGCACGUGUCUGAUUCAAAUAGUUGAUCACCAUUACCUAUAUUUCUUUUAACAUGUGAAUAUACCAAUUCAAUAUGCAACCAUGAAUGGGAAAACAUCCAUUUCAAUCAUUCAUGCAUGGGAAAAUACAUCCGUCAUUUUAUAAAACUUAUAUUCAAUAAUGGUUGUACAACUGUACAAUAAUCAAAUGAUUAUGUAUAUCUAUUUUUAUUUAACUAAAGUUCAUAUUAUAAAUCUAAAUAUGCAUGUUUCGUACAACCAAAUAUCACUGAAAUAUCUUGCAACCAAUUCCCGCAGCAACGCGCGGGGUAUUAUCUAGUUUUACAGUCGCUGUGCACAUAUUACGCUGCUAUACGUUUUGUAGUAUUAUCCUUUUAAGAACAAGUGCCGGUGCUAUGUUUUGCUAAUCCAAAAGGUGCAGUUUAUCAUUGCCCUUCAAGUAUGGUGCCAGCAUAUAUGUGUUUUAACUUUUUGUCCCUUGUUUUGCUAUGUUUAACCUUUCAUGCCCAGCUUCUUUGAUAAACUAAUUGUCCCCUUCAAGGCCACUGACUGCAUGACGGAGAGGUUAUCAAUUGGACAGAUUUGUCCUUCAUUUCAUUACUCGAAUGGCCAUGCUUCUCUUUGUAUUCAUACACAAAUUUGAAGCUUAUAGCUUGAUUUACAUCUGAAUGACUUCGGCUUUAGUGUUUACUAGAAGAGUUGGGCGCGCUUUGCUGCGUCGUUGAUGUAAUUGGGUUUUCAUACUUUUUUUACUCCAUCUAUUUCAAAAUAUAAGGUGUAUUACUUUUUUUUAACUGUCAAACCUAUUUAAGUUUGACCGAAUUUGUGUGGAAAUAUAUCAAUAUCUAUAAUAUCAAGUCUGAUUUUUAGAUUCAUCAUGAAAUGAAUUUACAUAUUUCAUUUAUUUAGUACUCCCUUCGUCUCAAAAUUCUUGUCUUAAAUUUGUCUGGAUACAGAUGUAUCUAAUACUAAAAUGUGAAUUGAUACAUCUGUAUUUAGACAAAUCUAAGACAAGAAUUUUGGGAUGGAGGAAGUAUUAUGGAUGUCGAUAUUUUUGGCUCUGAACUUGGUCAAAAUUAAAAGAAUUUGACUUUUCAAUAAACUAAUACACCUUAUAUUUUGAAACAGAGUGAUUAUUUGAUUUGGUUAGUGGUGAAGAUGAUGGAGUAUCUUUUUUCAUUCAUAUAUGUGGUGUUUUGAUGGGCCUUUGGUGGUGUGAUUUUGUGAGAAAUUUUCUGCGUCGACGGUUGCAUGUAUUAUAUUGGUCCUACAGUAUCACAUGUUGUUGCUUCUUUUUUCUAAGUGAUGAGGGUGUGCAGGAUUGGUAUGAUUUUUUAAGGCGGGUUGCUUUCGAUUGAUUUGAAAAAUUGUUGACCAGUCAAAAUCAUGAACGAAAUUCAAUAUUGAAUUUCUCAUUUGAAUG